UGGGGAAUAUUGGACAAUGGGCGAAAGCCUGAUCCAGCCAUGCCGCGUGUGUGAAGAAGGUCUUCGGAUUGUAAAGCACUUUAAGUUGGGAGGAAGGGCAGUAAGCGAAUACCUUGCUGUUUUGACGUUACCGACAGAAUAAGCACCGGCUAACUCUGUGCCAGCAGCCGCGGUAAUACAGAGGGUGCAAGCGUUAAUCGGAAUUACUAGGCGUAAAGCGUGCGUAGGCGGUUCGUUAAGUUGAAUGUGAAAGCCCCGGGCUCAACCUGGGAACUGCGUCCAAAACUGGCGAGCGAGAGUAGGGCAGAGGGUGGUGGAAGUUCCUGUGUAGCGGUGAAAUGCGUAGAUAUAGGAAGGAGCACCAGUGGCGAAGGCGACCACCUGGGCUCAUACUGACACUGAGGUGCGAAAGCGUGGGGAGCAAACAGG
rnacentral:rRNA from 1 species